rfam:TPA: Bos taurus chromosome X, whole genome shotgun sequence.
UCCUUGGCAGUCCAGUGGUUAGGACUUGGCACUUUCAAUGCCGGGGCCCAGGUCCAAUCCCUGGCCAAGGGA